rnacentral:rRNA from 1 species
GACGCUGAGGCUCGAAAGCGUGGGUAGCGAACAGGAUUAGAUACCCUGGUAGUCCACGCCGUAAACGAUGAGUGCUAGGUGUUAGGCCCUUUCCGGGGCUUAGUGCCGGAGCUAACGCAAUAAGCACUCCGCCUGGGGAGUACGACCGCAAGGUUGAAACUCAAAGGAAUUGACGGGGGCCCGCACAAGCGGUGGAGCAUGUGGUUUAAUUCGAAGCAACGCGAAGAACCUUACCAGGUCUUGACAUCCCGAUGCUAUUCUUAGAGAUAGGAANNUACUUCGGUACAUCGGAGACAGGUGGUGCAUGGUUGUCGUCAGCUCGUGUCGUGAGAUGUUGGGUUAAGUCCCGCAACGAGCGCAACCCUUAUUGUUAGUUGCCAUCAUUAAGUUGGGCACUCUAGCGAGACUGCCGGUAAUAAACCGGAGGAAGGUGGGGAUGACGUCAAAUCAUCAUGCCCCUUAUGACCUGGGCUACACACGUGCUACAAUGGUCGGUACAACGAGUUGCGAGCCGGUGACGGCAAGCUAAUCUCUGAAAGCCGAUCUCAGUUCGGAUUGGAGGCUGCAACUCGCCUCCAUGAAGUCGGAAUCGCUAGUAAUCGCGGAUCAGCACGCCGCGGUGAAUACGUUCCCGGGCCUUGUACACACCGCCCGUCACACCACGAGAGUUUGUAACACCCGAAGUCGGUGAGGUANCCUUUUAGGGGCCAG